rnacentral:rRNA from 1 species
UACGGGAGGCAGCAGUGGGGAAUAUUGGGCAAUGGGCGCAAGCCUGACCCAGCAACGCCGCGUGAAGGAAGAAGGCUUUCGGGUUGUAAACUUCUUUUAAGAGGGAAGAGCAGAAGACGGUACCUCUAGAAUAAGCCACGGCUAACUACGUGCCAGCAGCCGCGGUAAUACGUAGGUGGCAAGCGUUGUCCGGAUUUACUGGGUGUAAAGGGCGUGCAGCCGGGUCUGCAAGUCAGAUGUGAAAUCCAUGGGCUCAACCCAUGAACUGCAUUUGAAACUGUAGAUCUUGAGUGUCGGAGGGGCAAUCGGAAUUCCUAGUGUAGCGGUGAAAUGCGUAGAUAUUAGGAGGAACACCAGUGGCGAAGGCGGAUU